GUUACACAUGCAGUCGAGCGGUAACAGGGGGUGCUUGCACCCCGCUGACGAGCGGCGGACGGGUGAGUAAUGCAUAGGAAUCUGCCCAGUAGUGGGGGAUAGCCCGGGGAAACCCGGAUUAAUACCGCAUACGUCCUUCGGGGGAAAGCAGGGGAUCUUCGGACCUUGCGCUAUUGGAUGAGCCUAUGUCGGAUUAGCUAGUUGGUGGGGUAAAGGCCUACCAAGGCGACGAUCCGUAGCUGGUCUGAGAGGAUGAUCAGCCACAUCGGGACUGAGACACGGCCCGAACUCCUACGGGAGGCAGCAGUGGGGAAUAUUGGACAAUGGGGGCAACCCUGAUCCAGCCAUGCCGCGUGUGUGAAGAAGGCUUUCGGGUUGUAAAGCACUUUCAGUGAGGAGGAAAACCUUCUGGUUAAUACCCAUGAGGCUUGACGUUACUCACAGAAGAAGCACCGGCUAACUCCGUGCCAGCAGCCGCGGUAAUACGGAGGGUGCAAGCGUUAAUCGGAAUUACUGGGCGUAAAGCGCGCGUAGGUGGUUUGAUAAGCGAGAUGUGAAAGCCCCGGGCUUAACCUGGGAACGGCAUUUCGAACUGUCAGGCUAGAGUGUG
rnacentral:rRNA from 1 species